GACGAACGCUGGCGGCGUGCUUAACACAUGCAAGUCGAACGGUUAAGCGCCUUUCUUUUUGGUGUUUGUGGAUGAGUGGCUAACUGGUGCGUAACACGCUAGUUACCUGCCCCCUUUUUCUUCCUAACCGCAUGACUGUUUCGCUAUUACUCGUUAGUCUGGGUCUGUCGCAUGUUGGGUCUUCGCACUAUAUUGUUUCGGUGGGUGAUGUGCUCGCGUCGUAUCAGUUUGUUGGUGGGGUGGUGGCCUACCAAGGCGGUGACGGGUAGCCGGCCUGAGAGGGUGGACGGUCACACUGGGACUGAGACACGGGCCAGACUCAGACGGGAGGCAGCAGGGGGGAAGAUGGCAAAAUGGGCGCAAGACUGAUGCAGCGACGCCGCGUGAGGGAUGGAGGCCUUCGGGUUGUGAACCUCUUUCGACAGUGAAGCAGGCCUGCCGCGUGUGUGGGUGGGUUGACGGUAGCUGGAGAAGAAGCGCCGGCUAACUACGUG
rnacentral:rRNA from 1 species